UAGGGAAUCUUCCGCAAUGGGCGAAAGCCUGACGGAGCAACGCCGCGUUAGUGAUGAAGGUCUUUGGAUCGUAAAACUCUGUUAUAAGGGAAGAACAAAGGUGUAAGUAACUAUGCACGUCUUGACGGAACCUAAUCAGAAAGCCACGGCUAACUACGUGCCGGCAUCCGCGGUAUUACGUAGGUGGCAAGCGUUAUCCGGAAUUAUUGGGCGUAAAGCGCGCGUAGGCGGUUUUUUAAGUCUGAUGUGAAAGCCCACGGCUCAACCGUGGAGGGUCAUUGGAAACUGGAAAACUUGAGUGCAGAAGAGGAAAGUGGAAUUCCAUGUGUAGCGGUGAAAUGCGCAGAGAUAUGGAGGAACACCAGUGGCGAAGGCGACUUUCUGGUCUGUAACUGACGCUGAUGUGCGAAAGCGUGGGGAUCAAACAGG
rnacentral:rRNA from 1 species